UGCCCAGGGCGGGACUUGAACCCGCACAGCCUUAAGGCCGAGGGAUUUUAAAUCCCUUGUGUCUACCGAUUUCACCACCUGGGC
rnacentral:tRNA from 1 species